AGAUGAAAUGCCGAAUCCGUACCAGUC
rnacentral:sRNA from 1 species